GUGUCAGCCGCCGCGGUAAGACGAACCGUGCAAACGUUGUUCGGAAUCACUGGGCUUAAAGGGCGCGUAGGCGGGUUCCCAAGUCGGUGGUGAAAUCUUUCAGCUCAACUGGAAAAGUGCCGCCGAUACUGGGAGUCUUGAGGGAGGUAGGGGUCGAUGGAACUGGUGGUGGAGCGGUGAAAUGCGUAGAUAUCACUAGGAACGCCGGUGGCGAAAGCGAUCGACUGGACCUCUUCUGACGCUGAGGCGCGAAAGCCAGGGGAGCAAACGGGAUUAGAAACCCUCGUAGUCC
rnacentral:rRNA from 1 species